rnacentral:rRNA from 1 species
AGAGUUUGAUCAUGGCUCAGAACGAACGCUGGCGGCAGGCUUAACACAUGCAAGUCGAGCGCCCCGCAAGGGGAGCGGCAGACGGGUGAGUAACGCGUGGGAAUCUACCUAUCUCUACGGAAUAACCCAGGGAAACUUGGACUAAUACCGUAUACGCCCUUCGGGGGAAAGAUUUAUCGGAGAUGGAUGAGCCCGCGUUGGAUUAGCUAGUUGGUGGGGUAAUGGCCCACCAAGGCGACGAUCCAUAGCUGGUCUGAGAGGAUGAUCAGCCACACUGGGACUGAGACACGGCCCAGACUCCUACGGGAGGCAGCAGUGGGGAAUAUUGGACAAUGGGCGAAAGCCUGAUCCAGCCAUGCCGCGUGAGUGAUGAAGGCCCUAGGGUUGUAAAGCUCUUUCACCGGUGAAGAUAAUGACGGUAACCGGAGAAGAAGCCCCGGCUAACUUCGUGCCAGCAGCCGCGGUAAUAC